CCUACGGGAGGCAGCAGUGAGGAAUAUUGGUCAAUGGACGCAAGUCUGAACCAGCCAUGCCGCGUGCAGGAAGACGGCUCUAUGAGUUGUAAACUGCUUUUGUACGGGGGUAAACGCAGAUACGCGUAUCUGUCUGAAAGUAUCGUACGAAUAAGGAUCGGCUAACUCCGUGCCAGCAGCCGCGGUAAUACGGAGGAUUCAAGCGUUAUCCGGAUUUAUUGGGUUUAAAGGGUGCGUAGGCGGUCGGAUAAGUUAGACGUGAAAUCCCGAGGCUCAACUUCGGAAUUGACUCUGAUACUGUUCGUCUAGAGAGAAGUUGCGGUAGGCGGAAUGUAUGGUGUAGCGGUGAAAUGCUUAGAGAUCAUACAGAACACCGAUUGCGAAGGCAGCUUACCAAGCUACUUCUGACGUUGAGGCACGAAAGCGUGGGGAGCAAACAGGAUUAGAUACCCGGGUAGUC
rnacentral:rRNA from 1 species